UUUGAGUGCAGAUGGGCGGAACCGGAGAGCAACGAGCCAUCUGCUACUCAUCAGCAGGCUUCUUAAGGAGCAGGGAGACGCACCUCAGCGCUGGAUGAUUACUCAAUCUUGGUCAAUCCUCCACUUUCAGAACCUGCCAUAAGACACGGAUCCACGCCUGUCUCUCGCUCCAGCCUCUUCUGACCAGCCAGCUCUCUGCCGCCUCCGCACCCUCCCCCCUCUCAGGACUCUGAGGAUUCGCCCUGUCUCGCGCUCCUCCUGCCUCUCACCAGCCAACCGGACCCUCCUCUCUCUCUCUUCUCUCCUCCCUACCCAGAACGCUGGGCCCCAGGAUUUUUGGACUAUAAAGAACUGAGCUAAGCUCCAAAUCGUCACCUACCUUUAACGGUGCUCCUUUAGUUAAGAUAAUAAAUAUUUGUUUUUUCUAACCCAUCCUCUUGACUCUGAAGUUGAUUCUGUAUGUCUUGGGUCAGACGGCUAACCCCAAACAUGACACCCUGACUGUGUCUCUCUCCUGCCCUUGAUUAGUCCUUAUUGUUUUCACCUGCCCCUUGUUUACCUGCCCAUGUGUUCCUCAUUUGCCCUGUGUAUUUAUACCUCCCUCCUUGUAUCAGUCUUUGUCAGAUCAUUGUGGUUGUUUGUCAUCGUUGUCUUGUGCUGUUCGUUCCUGUUUCCACCAUUAAAACCAGUUUACUUUA